UGGCGAUGAAGAUGAAAAGGCCGGAGUUACGGCUGCCGUUUACUUCUUAGAUUGAUGAACUUUAUGGUUUAGGGUUUUCUGAGCCAG